UGGGGAAUAUUGCACAAUGGGCGCAAGCCUGAUGCAGCGACGCCGCGUGAGGGAUGGAGGCCUUCGGGUUGUAAACCUCUUUCGCCAGUGAAGCAGGCCAUCUUCUUUGUGGGGUGGUUGACGGUAGCUGGAUAAGAAGCGCCGGCUAACUACGUGCCAGCAGCCGCGGUAAUACGUAGGGCGCGAGCGUUGUCCGGAAUUAUUGGGGGUAAAGAGCUCGUAGGCGGCUGGUCGCGUCUGUCGUGAAAUCCCCUGGCUUAACUGGGGGCUUGCGGUGGGUACGGGCCGGCUUGAGUGCGGUAGGGGAGACUGGAAUUCCUGGUGUAGCGGUGGAAUGCGCAGAUAUCAGGAGGAACACCGGUGGCGAAGGCGGGUCUCUGGGCCGUUACUGACGCUGAGGAGCGAAAGCGUGGGGAGCGAACAGG
rnacentral:rRNA from 1 species